GUGGGGAAUCUUCCGCAAUGGACGAAAGUCUGACGGAGCAACGCCGCGUGAGUGAAGAAGGUUUUCGGAUCGUAAAGCUCUUUCGUUAGGGACGAACGUGCUCUUUGUGAAUAAUGAGGAGUAAUGACGGUACCUAAAUAAGAAGCCACGGCUAACUACGUGCCAGCAGCCGCGGUAAUACGUAGGUGGCAAGCGUUGUCCGGAAUUAUUGGGCGUAAAGCGCGCGCAGGCGGGAUAUCAAGUCUGUCUUAAACGUGCGAGGCUCAACCUCGUGAGGGGACAGAAACUGGUAUUCUUGAGAGUCGGAGAGGAAAGUGGAAUUCCAAGUGUAGCGGUGAAAUGCGUAGAGAUUUGGAAGAACACCAGUGGCGAAGGCGACUUUCUGGACGAUGUCUGACGCUGAGGCGCGAAAGCUAGGGGAGCGAACGGGAUUAGAAACCCGUGUAGUCC
rnacentral:rRNA from 1 species